ACACAGGUGGUCGGGUAGAGAAUACCAAGGCGCUUGAGAGAACUCGGGUGAAGGAACUAGGCAAAAUGGUACCGUAACUUCGGGAGAAGGUACGCUCUUGAUGGUGAAGUCCCUCGCGGAUGGAGCUGACGAGAGUCGCAGAUACCAGGUGGCUGCAACUGUUUAUUAAAAACACAGCACUGUGCAAAAUCGUAAGAUGACGUAUACGGUGUGACGCCUGCCCGGUGCCGGAAGGUUAAUUGAUGGGGUUAGACUUC
rnacentral:rRNA from 1 species